AAGCGGAGGAAAAGAAACCAACUGGGAUUACCUUAGUAACGGCGAGUGAAGCGGUAAAAGCUCAAAUUUGAAAUCUGGUACUUUCAGUGCCCGAGUUGUAAUUUGUAGAAUUUGUCUUUGAUUAGGUCCUUGUCUAUGUUCCUUGGAACAGGACGUCAUAGAGGGUGAGAAUCCCGUUUGGCGAGGAUACCUUUUCUCUGUAAGACUUUUUYGAAGAGUCGAGUUGUUUGGGAAUGCAGCUCAAAGUGGGUGGUAAAUUCCAUCUAAAGCUAAAUAUUGGCGAGAGACCGAUAGCGAACAAGUACAGUGAUGGAAAGAUGAAAAGAACUUUGAAAAGAGAGUGAAAAAGUACGUGAAAUUGUUGAAAGGGAAGGGCAUUUGAUCAGACAUGGUGUUUUUUGCAUGCACUCGCCUYUCGUGGGCUUGGGCCUCUCAAAAAUUUCACUGGGCCAACAUCAAUUCUGGCAGCAGGAUAAAUCAUUAAGAAUGUAGCUACUUCGGUAGUGUUAUAGCUUUUUGGAAUACUGUUAGCCGGGAUUGAGGACUGCGCUUCGGCAAGGAUGUUGGCAUAAUGGUUAAAUGCCGCCCGUCUUG
rnacentral:rRNA from 1 species